rnacentral:rRNA from 1 species
AUGGCCUCAUUCCGUGUGGGCUCACAGACCGUGUCUGACGAGGGGGCGAUGGCCAAGGCGGCCUACGAUCACUUCUGCUCCAUCCUGGGCACUUCAACUGCCAGAGAUCACUCCAUUGAUCUUGCGAGCAUCGACCCUCGCCGCUUCGACCUUGACGACCUGGAGCAACCCUUCACCGAGGAAGAAAUCUGGGCCGUCGUCAAGCUUCUCCCCACUGGCAAGGCGCCCGGACCGGGGUUCACGGCCGAGUUCCUGCGCGCAUGCUGGCCGAUCAUCAAGGCUGACAUCUGCGCUGCGUUCGAUAAACUCUACGCCCUGAACGGUCGCGGCUUCCACAAGCUCAACGAAGCCCUUCUCAUUCUCCUCCCCAAGAAGCCCGACGCGUGCGCGCUCGCCGACUACAGGCCGAUCAGCUUGAUUCACCUGCUGGCCAAGCUUUUUGCCAAAGUCCUCUCCCCGAGGCUCGCUUCGAAGAUGGGGAGGCUCGUCUCUGUCAACUAG